CGACUGGCCCCUAGAUGGAAUGACCGUGUCGGCACGUGAGCGGUGAUGGAUUCGCAUGCCACGGCGGGCUCCCUGCCACUGUGCAGCCAACCGCCGUCGCUGCAGCCCCUUCACUCAUGCUCCAACCACUCGGAGCCUCCCGCGUUGCCUGUACAACAUACCCGGUUCUCGGGCAAACGACUUCGUCCAACACGCUCGUCCGCUCCCCUCGCCUUCGUGCGGGCGCGGAGCGGCAACGUCGGCGCUCCUCGUGUUCCCUCGGACGACGGCACGGCUUCGGCCCCUCGUCUCGUCCCGAUCGGCCCUCGAGGAUUCGCCAGCGCUCGCGGACACGGCAGACAAUGUUGGCUCGGGGCCUUCGCAGCCCCCGCACCACGAUCGGUCGGCUCACUUCGCCGCCCUCAACGAGACGACCGUCGGGCCCGUCGUCCCCCCA
rnacentral:misc_RNA from 1 species